rnacentral:misc_RNA from 1 species
AAGCAACAACAGAUAUUGGCACUACAUCAAAGUAGACAAUAUGUUAAAAUGAAUUGAAACAUUUGAAAUAGUAACAGUUCAAACAUCCAAUUCUAAAGUGACAAUUUCUGAAUAACCUUUUUCCUUCUUGUUUUACAACUUCCUUUUAUUAGACCAUAUAUCAUAUGUUGAGUAACAAAGGAGAAUUACAAACAUGCCAUCUAAACUACUCUAUCCCUCAAAAGGCCAAUCCAAACUAGUUUGAAACUAAGAAUAAGUUGAGUUAUCCUAUCCUAUCCCCAAAACCUUUCCUAUCAUAUUUGGCCUUGGUGCAUGCACACACAUACAAAUGUAUAAAAAGAGUAGAAUUAAUUUUAAAAUUCAGAAACAAAAGUCAGUCUAAUGCAGCUGCAUUUACAAAAAUCAUGGAAAAAAAUUCAGGGAAAA